CGCUAGAAGGUCUUAGCGAGAACCCUCCAGAACGAGCGGACUGCUAGUCCUGCUCUCUCCCUUCUCUUUCGCACCUUCGCCCCUUCGCCCUUUCGUCUUCUUCUUCCUCGUCGCACCUUCACCCUUUCGUCUUCUGCUCCCUUGUGGGUUUCCAGCCACGUACUCUGCGUUCGCCACCAAAAGCCUACUCAAGUGGGCGAAUAAGCACUGCGUUCGCCGCCAAAGGCCCCCCUCAACGACCCAUUCUCCAACCCCAACAACCUAUUAAUUAGUUUUGUGUUAAUGGUGUUUGAUGAAUUUAUGUCAAUUUAGGUUAAAUUUUGUUAAUUUGGAUGAAUCUCGUUAAUGGGGUUUAAUAAAUUUAUGUUAAUUUGGAUAAAUCUUAUUGGAUAUUAAAAUUCCAUUAUUGUUCUUUAUUUAUUUUUUAUUUUUUUUUUGUCUGCAGAUUCUUGAAGCAGUAGAGAAAAAUGGGAGUUUCAAUUUUUUUGGAAUCAUCGGUUUUGGCAUUGGAAGUCUGAGGGGUUUCUUGUUGGGUUUCUAUGUUUUCGUCAUUUCAGAGCAUGAGGAAGUGAGGGGACACUGUUCUGCAGCUCUGUGAGAGGUAGGGGUGGACAUGGUGGCAGAGCUGGUUGGAGUUACAUUGGGUUCAAAGGGAAGGAAUGUGGUGCUGCAAAAUAAGUAUGGACCUCCAAGAUUGUCAAUGACGGUGAAACUCUCCUCAAAUAGGUAAUUGGUUCCACAUUUGAAUUAGCCAAUUGCUGUUUUAGUAUUUUAGAAUCUUCGAAUUGAUUUAAAUUUUAAUACCGACAUAAAUUGAGUUGUCCUUGGUGGCAUUAGUUUAACUUUAGUGUUAAUAAACAACACUCAAAAUGUUAUCUACCAAAUUAUCGUUCAUGGCUCAUGUGUUCUAGUUGACAUUUGUAUCUAGAAGUCUGCAUGAGCAUCUCUUUAUGGUUCCCCUUGUAUUGCACACUGACUGCCCACAAAAGUUUGAUCUUCCAGCUCCAUUUGUAUUGCACACUGCGGGACCAUAGACAAUUGUUGCAUUCUAUUUAUGAUGAUGCAAUCUGUGCAUUUGGAGCGAUGUAAUCUGUGCAUUUGGAAGGCUUUGCUGCAUGUAUAGUAGUGACAAAUACAACAUUAAACUAGACCUUGUAUCUGUGGCAAAGGCUCUUCUUCUGAAUAUAUGCCAAUUAGCAUUCUUGUGAGCCCAGAAGUUUCAGAUGUCAUAUCCUCUCAGAGCAUCAAGCUUGGUUCUUUUUCUCAUGGGAUUACAUAUUAUGGACACCCCGUAGCCUGUGCGGUUGCAAUUGAAACACUCAAGAUCUACAUAAUUAGUUGAAGGGCAUUGAAGAAUAUGUGAAUGAACUCAAGUUUAAGCACAAGUAGUUGCAACUUGUAUAUGUAUUGAUAGCUCAUGAUGGUGAAAAAAAUAUGUAGACUUUCAUGUAAAAGCAAAAUCCUUUCCCCA